ACGGUGCCGCAUCUUCUUCCUCUGCCUUCGCUCUCCACCUCCACUACAACUGAUUUUCUACCCGUCAAAACAAACCCACCGUCCCCACCGACGCCGCCGGCAACGAAGAUGAAGUGCUUCUCGGAGUCGAAAAACAUGCCGACAAGGGAGGGGGAGAAACAUAGUUACAUUCGAUGAGGGCGAGAAAAAUAAUUACACUUCAGUGAGGGCGGUAGCUACGAUAAAGGGCAAGGAAUAGGUCGUGAUCCAAAAAAAAUUAUAAAAAGAAAAAAAAAAUAAGAAUAAUAAAAAAUAAAAAUUUAAAAAAAAAUUCUACAAGAAAGAAUAAAAAUAAUAGAAGAAGAAAGAAAAAGAUAAAAUUACACAGUUAAAAUAAAAUUACGCUGUUUUAAAAAAUUUUUAUACUAUUUUAAAUAAAAAUUGCACUCUUUGAACAGAAAUUACACUCUUUAGAAUAAAAANCAGAGGCGGAGGCGGAAAGGGCCUACCUCGCCUCUCACCCUCAUGCCCUCGCCCUCGCUCAUGCACCCCCCGCCUUCCCCGCCUCCGACCCCGCCGAAGGCUACGUUGUGAUCCUCUUUUUUCCCUCUCCAACCCUCCUCCACCGCCUCCGUGGCUCUCCGUGACCCUCCGCAACGAUAGCAAGGACGGUGCCGCAUCUUCUUCCUCUGCCUUCGCUCUCCACCUCCACUACAACUGAUUUUCUACCCGUCAAAACAAACCCACCGUCCCCACCGACGCCGCCGGCAACGAAGAUGAAGUGCUUCUCGGAGUCGAAAAACAUGCCGACAAGGGAGGGGGAGAAACAUAGUUACAUUCGAUGAGGGCGAGAAAAAUAAUUACACUUCAGUGAGGGCGGUAGCUACGAUAAAGGGCAAGGAAUAGGUCGUGAUCCAAAAAAAAUUAUAAAAAGAAAAAAAAAAUAAGAAUAAUAAAAAAUAAAAAUUUAAAAAAAAAUUCUACAAGAAAGAAUAAAAAUAAUAGAAGAAGAAAGAAAAAGAUAAAAUUACACAGUUAAAAUAAAAUUACGCUGUUUUAAAAAAUUUUUAUACUAUUUUAAAUAAAAAUUGCACUCUUUGAACAGAAAUUACACUCUUUAGAAUAAAAAUUACGCUCUUUAGACGAAAAUUACACUAUUUGAAUAAAAUUUACACAAUUCCUCUUUCUCUUCUUCCUCCUUCUCUUUCCCCUCCGCUUUCCCUGCAGC
rnacentral:lncRNA from 1 species